GAACGGAAGAUUGAACUUAGAGAAGGAGAGGGGUGAGCGUAUUUAGAUAAGGGGGCCAGUAAGACCUCCCUGAGACAUGGGUUGCUGAAUCACAAGUAGGGUCAGCAAGGCGAAGAUUUGGGGAGAAAGGUGUUCCAGGAAGAGGGCCCAGCACAAGGAGGGGAAGGCCCCAGGUGGCUAGGCCGGAGGAGAGAAAGCGCAGUAUGCAGGACUGGGGAGGGUGGGAUGGUCUCCAAGACCUGGGUAAAGAGCCUGCGUUUAUUCUGCAGUUGGGAGACCCCUAGAGGGUUUUCAGCACGGGAGGGCCAUGUCUGAUUUAUGUGUCUAAAAGGCCAGUCUGCAAGCGGAGGGUGGACUGGAGAGAGAGGAGCGUGGAAUUGGGCACCAAUGAGAAAGAUUGUUCUGGGGUUAUCCUGGUAUCUGAGGUGGGUGCAGGGAAGGUCUCCAACUCUUCAGGCCACAUCGGGUCUAGACCAUGAAGGUAACCAGGGAGGCUCCUGGGAAAAUCUGUCACCAGACUCCAUCUGGGGUGGGAGUGGAGAUGGGGGCUGCUGAUGAAGUCAGAGAAGAGGCAGCCUCCUGCCCUGGACUUCCAGAAGGCUCUGCUGUUCACUGUUCCUCAAGACACAUACACACUCACAAACCUGCUGGGGGAUUAGGAAACUGGAGAUUAGGGAAGGAUAAUAAUUGAACCACCUGCUAUUUAUAUAUAGCACCUUUGGCAAAGGCGCUCAGCAGGGCUUCCCUCACCUCUCCCCCUGGAGGGGGCCCUGACCCUUGUUCUCUGUCCACAUAAAAAUCAUCCUUGGCCAACCUCAAGGCUGAGAAGCCAUUGAGACCCACGGGCCAUGGGUAGACUGAUGUGAGGGGCAACUUGUCUGAGGCCACACAGAGAGAUUAUGGCAGAUAAUUGACAUGAAUCAGCCACCCGCACAGCAGGAGGUCUGUGCUGCCCUGCGUUAAAAUCUAACUGCCUUCACACAUGUUCACUCACGCACUCAACAGUAUUAAGCAUCUGCUAGGUGCCAGGCACUGGGAAUGCAACAGCUGGAAAACAGAUAAAAAUCUCUGCCCUCAAGAAGCUGACAUUCUAGUGGGAGGAAACGAACCGAUAAGAUAAGUAAAUUAUUUAGUUUGUCAAAUGGGACAGGUGCUACGGGGUGGGGGGAAUUAGCCAGGGAAGAGGCCCAGGAGUGCUGAUGAGAGGGAUAGAUUGCAAUUUUGAAAACGGAUCAAGGAAGGUCUCACCGAGGAGGUGAGAUGGGAAGCCAGGGGUGGUUGCAUCCCUGCUUUUGCUGCUUGACUCUUCCUCUUACUCCUAGAGGGCACAAUCUGUCAGCAAAUCCUGCCUGCUGGGCCUUCUCAUCACAACCAGGGCCAAACCACUUCUCAGCGCCUCCGCUGCUUCCGCCCUCGUCUGAGCCUCCACCGCUCUCACCUGGGCGCCCUAUUUCCACCUUGUGCCUUCUGUCGAUUCCUCACUCACCAGCCCGAGGAAUCCUUGCACAGAAGUCAGAUCACAUUCCUUCCCUGUUGUCAAGGGAAGAAGACAAAUGGGCAUGAGAAGGAGAGGAUCAGGGGCUUGGAAGCCAAGAUUUUGCCAAUUUGACUUAUGCAACUUGGGCAAAAAAAAAAAUUGAGCCUCAGUCUUUUCAUCUGUGAAAUAGGGAUAACAAACUCUGAUACGAGGGGUCAGUAGUGACAAGGAUGUGAAAGCAGCCACGAUGGCAUGGCAGGGCCUAUCUGGAGUUUGGCCUUUGCAGGGGGGUAGAUGACACCCUUGUGUGUUCUAGGUCCUUUGAGAUACAUUAUCUCACUGAAGCCUCAGCAACUCCGCGGUGUUCCCAGAGGUGAGGAAACACACUGAGAGACAGAACACGACUUGACCAGGGCCACCCUGUGGGGCACGCUGGCACCUGCACAGCCCAGCUUCACCUGGUUCCAGCCCUGCCCGCGCUCUGCUCCCCACUUCCCGUAACCCUGGGCUGGCGUCAGCAGGCAGGCCUGCCAGGAGGCUGGAGCUGCCAACGACCUAUUUUUCUGGGCAAGAAGAGCCAUUUGGAGUUAGAGGUCUCAGCUGUGAAGCCAGAACAAUAAAAAUAAAAACAGCACGGACUCCUGGGCAGCCUGGACCAGGGAACCAACUGCCCCAAGAGUUGCUGCUCACCAGGCUGGAAGGUCCCAGGUGAUACUGACGCUACUGAUUCAGGGAUCACACUUUGAGAACCGCUGAAUAGACUGCCAUUCAAGCCAAGGUGAGACUCCUUUGUAAGCCUGGCCCCAGUUUCCGUGUUGGUUAGUCUGU
rnacentral:lncRNA from 1 species